GUUUUUUUUUUUUUUUGAAAAAGGGCUUUAUAGUGUGAAUAAGUUGUAGAAUAGUAGUGUGAAUAAGUUGAAACCUAAACUACGCCUUGAUGAUUUUUUUCUCUACAGAAAAAUAAGGUAUAUAAUUUAUAUAUUCUUUGAAAUGAACGGUUUUACCACUAUGAAUUUUAAAUUAAAUUCUAACUCCUAAAUAUAUAUAUCAUCCUAAGUCAGUUUAAUUAAUUAGAAACUGACAAGUGAUGCGAAUAACAUGCUAAAUUAAGCUCGAUUUUAUAUUCAAAACACAUUAAACAGAAUGUUUGUUCCAUACAUAAUAUUUAGACUAUGAUUAUCGUUAGUCUACGAAAAUAUGCAGUAGCUGAUUAACAUCAAAUAUUCUUAAAUACUUUUCAACUACUUUUGGAUGAGUGGUAGAAAUAUUUACAUCGUAGCACACUUUUCAAAUUGAUGGAACAUCAAUUAAAAUAAUCUGUAAAAUAUUUAUACCAUAAACUAACAAUGACGCACGAAGUGAUGCAAAUUCAUUUGCGUGAUUCGAUAAUAAUUGACGUCAGAAAAUAAAAGUGACACCAAUUCAUGUGCUGUUGAUUUGUAGUGCGUCAAUCGUUGAACAAAAUAAUUUAUACGUUAAAAAAACACCAACAGUUUUAACAUGAUUUAGUCGAUAAGAGCACUUCCAUUGGUAGUUUUAGGAAAGGUUGUCAGACAAAAAAACACAAGAAAAUAAAUGAAAAAUGAAUAAACAGCACAUAACCGGUUAUAAACAGAGGCAUUUUAGAAUUGGUAAUAACCCCUACGUGGCGGUUUUGUAUUGGGUACUUGUAAAAGAGAAAAGGAAUCCAAAACCCGUCUCUCUCUUUAUCGCUUUCUUUUCAUGCAUGUCCUUUGGCGAUCGAUCCAAGCUACCUCCUCCUCUUCCAAAUUCGUGCCGAAAUCUGCGGUCGAUCGGUGGUAGCUCUCUUCAUCGGCAAUCGAUCGGUAAAAUCAGCAAGGGAACGACUCUACCCUUGUUCGCCGAAAUCAGCCAAAAAAAAAUGGAGAAAGCAAUCGAGAGAGAACGAGUUCUUCUUCAACAUCUCUGUCCUUCUUCCUCCUCACAUAGUUUCGAAGCUCUCUCUCGAUCUCAAGGCUAUGGGAUUCUUGAUUGUUCUCGAUCUACAUUUUUUUUUAGACUUUUGAGUUUUUGAUAGUGAAUUAAUUAUUUGAUUUGAGCUCUGUGUACAUUUGAUUUAAGGACCAUCUCUCAAUUCCAAUAUGAAGAUCUUCUCUUUUUAGAUUUUCUGAUUAAUUGUCUGUGAAUUAAUAGGGAUUAACGUGAUAUCUGAUGGCUUCAAGUUCAGACAACAAUCGUGGUAUUGAGUUUUAUCUCACGUUAUUAGUCAGAUACAUUUGCUGAUUAUCUCAAUGAUCCAAGCAUCAAGGAAUUGGCUGAGCAAAUUGCCAAAGAUCCCACCUUUACUCUGUACCAAGUGCAUCAAGCUAAGUCCAAACGUGUCACUGGCAAGUGAUUGAUGAUCAACAGUCAUCAACCAAUGUGCCUGUUGGGGAAGAAGAAGCAGUUGGUCGGCCAACUGGUGUUAAAGCGGCAAAGGCGAAGAACAAACGAUCUGUGAGCAAGGAGGAAGGAGUAGUGGAUUUUCAGAAGAUGUGGGAGAUAAGAGAGAGGGACUAUGUUAUGAAAGACAAGCUUAACAAGCAAAAAAUACUUGAUAGCCUCAUUAAGAAGAUAAAGCCACUUACUGAGACUGAAAUUGCUUUGAAGAACAAGCUAAUUAAUGACAUGUUAGCAAGUUAGGUUGUGUUUCAGUUUAAUGACUAAGUUUGUUUCAGUUUAAUUGUUGAAUCUGUUUCUGUUUCAUUUUAAUGUUUGAGUUUGCUUAUGUUUCAUUGUAAUAUCUAAGCUUUUUUCUGUUUCAGUUUAAUGUCUUAGUUUGUUUCUGUUUCAGUUAAAUGUAUGAGUCUGUUUCUGUUUAUUUUAAUGUCUGACUUUAUGAGUUGUAAUACAAGUUCAAGUUAAUCAAGUUGAAGUUUAAUGUCGU